UACGUAGGGUGCGAGCGUUAAUCGGAAUUACUGGGCGUAAAGCGUGCGCAGGCGGUUAUUUAAGUCAGGUGUGAAAGCCCUGGGCUUAACCUAGGAAUUGCGCUUGAGACUGGAUAGCUUGGAGUGCGGCAGAGGGAGGUGGAAUUCCACGUGUAGCAGUGAAAUGCGUAGAGAUGUGGAGGAACACCGAUGGCGAAGGGCAGCCUCCUGGGCCAGCACUGACGCUCAUGCACGAAAGCGUGGGGAGCAAACAGG
rnacentral:rRNA from 1 species